UGAUCAUGGCUCAGAUUGAACGCUGGCGGCAGGCCUAACACAUGCAAGUCGAACGGUAACAGGAAACAGCUUGCUGUUUCGCUGACGAGUGGCGGACGGGUGAGUAAUGUCUGGGAAACUGCCUGAUGGAGGGGGAUAACUACUGGAAACGGUAGCUAAUACCGCAUAACGUCGCAAGACCAAAGAGGGGGACCUUCGGGCCUCUUGCCAUCGGAUGUGCCCAGAUGGGAUUAGCUAGUAGGUGGGGUAACGGCUCACCUAGGCGACGAUCCCUAGCUGGUCUGAGAGGAUGACCAGCCACACUGGAACUGAGACACGGUCCAGACUCCUACGGGAGGCAGCAGUGGGGAAUAUUGCACAAUGGGCGCAAGCCUGAUGCAGCCAUGCCGCGUGUAUGAAGAAGGCCUUCGGGUUGUAAAGUACUUUCAGCGGGGAGGAAGGGAGUAAAGUUAAUACCUUUGCUCAUUGACGUUACCCGCAGAAGAAGCACCGGCUAACUCCGUGCCAGCAGCCGCGGUAAUACGGAGGGUGCAAGCGUUAAUCGGAAUUACUGGGCGUAAAGCGCACGCAGGCGGUUUGUUAAGUCAGAUGUGAAAUCCCCGGGCUCAACCUGGGAACUGCAUCUGAUACUGGCAAGCUG
rnacentral:rRNA from 1 species